rnacentral:hammerhead_ribozyme from 1 species
AUCCAACUGACGAGUCUCAAAUAGGACGAAACGUCAUGGAU